CAUGGUUUAGUUUAGCUUCAUUGAGUGCAAUUGGUAGAGGGUUUAAUUUCUCUUUUAACUUGCCUUUACGCGUGCUUUGCCUUUAUGUGUUUUAUUUAUUUAUUUAUUUUUAUUUUUAUUUUUAUUUUUUUAUGCAUUUUUGGUGUGGCCCGCGUUUGUAGUGUUUGGAGGAGAGAGAUGCUUUAUAUUUUUUAAUGCUGGGCUACGUAACGGGAAUUUAAGAGAGAGAAAAUUAAAAGAACUUGAUUUUCUUUUUCAUUUCUUCUUAAUUUGUUUUUUUAGGGAUUUGAGGAAAAUGAUUUAGGGGAGAUGAUUUGAAUAAAUUUGAGAGUAAUUUUUUUGUUGUUGUUUUUUU
rnacentral:lncRNA from 1 species